rnacentral:hammerhead_ribozyme from 1 species
GUACCGAUGAAGAGUCUCAGAAUAGGACGAAAUAGGUGUCCAGUAC